AUGAGGAGCAUGAGGGGAGACACAGAUGAAGCGGUCAUUGCAGGCGGCGGCGCCGGAUGCGUCCGACGUGCGCGCUCGCCCGCGGUCAUUGCAGACGCAGCAGCUGCCCAUGGACGCUCGGGUCGAUGCAGGAGGAGGAGGAGCUCGCGAGGGCCAGUGGCGCUGGGAAUGGAUUGGAUGCAGGCGGAUCUGGCGAUUCCACGAGGGCCGCGACUCUCUGUAGAGGAAAAAGAAAGAGAAACAAGAGGGAGAAAGAAGAGACAAAUUCAUGUAUCCUCUCUUCUCCUUACUCUCUAUAUUGUUGAUGCUCCUCUAAUCUUGUUGCCCCUUGCUAAUCCUAAUCUCCUCUAA
rnacentral:rRNA from 1 species